rnacentral:rRNA from 1 species
GAUGAACGCUGACAGAAUGCUUAACACAUGCAAGUCAACUUGAACUUCGGUUUGGGUGGCGGACGGGUGAGUAACGCGUAAAGAACUUGCCUCACAGCUAGGGACAACAUUUGGAAACGAAUGCUAAUACCUGAUAUUAUGAUUAUAUGGCAUCGUAUAAUUAUGAAAGCUAUAUGCGCUGUGAGAGAGCUUUGCGUCCCAUUAGCUAGUUGGAGAGGUAACAGCUCACCAAGGCGAUGAUGGGUAGCCGGCCUGAGAGGGUGAUCGGCCACAAGGGGACUGAGACGCGGCCCUUACUCCUACGGGGGGCAGCAGUGGGGAAUAUUGGACAAUGGACCGAGAGUCUGAUCCAGCAAUUCUGUGUGCACGAUGAAGUUUUUCGGAAUGUAAAGUGCUUUCAGUUGGGAAGAAAAAAAUGACGGUACCAACAGAAGAAGUGACGGCUAAAUACGUG